rnacentral:rRNA from 1 species
CCUACGGGAGGCAGCAGUAGGGAAUCUUCCACAAUGGGCGAAAGCCUGAUGGAGCAACGCCGCGUGGGUGAAGAAGGUCUUCGGAUCGUAAAACUCUGUUGUUAGAGAAGAAAGAGCGUGAGAGUAACUGUUCACGUUUCGACGGUAUCUAACCAGAAAGCCACGGCUAACUACGUGCCAGCAGCCGCGGUAAUACGUAGGUGGCAAGCGUUAUCCGGAUUUAUUGGGCGUAAAGGGAACGCAGGCGGUCUUUUAAGUCUGAUGUGAAAGCCUUCGGCUUAACCGGAGUAGUGCAUUGGAAACUGGAAGACUUGAGUGCAGAAGAGGAGAGUGGAACUCCAUGUGUAGCGGUGAAAUGCGUAGAUAUAUGGAAGAACACCAGUGGCGAAAGCGGCUCUCUGGUCUGUAACUGACGCUGAGGUGCGAAAGCGUGGGUAGCAAACAGGAUUAGAUACCCGAGUAGUC